UGCCCAGCAACUCCUAUUCCAACCUCCACGUGGUACCGGCCGGAAACCAUGAGGAAGAUCGGGUAACCAACCUCGGUGGGAACUUUGGUCGUAUGCUGACAAGGAAGG
rnacentral:ribozyme from 1 species